rnacentral:lncRNA from 1 species
UAAUUUUUAACUCUACUCUGUAAAAAGCCCUAAUUUCUUAAAGAUUUUCUUUAGUUGUUUCUGUGUGUUUGCCUGAUUUUCUUUAUAUUUUUUUGUGUGUUAGCAUGAUUUCUUCGUUUUGGUUAUAUGUCUUAGCUUGAUUUUCUUUGCCUUGGUUCUGUGUGUUAGCAUGACUUUCUUUGCAUGGGUUCUCUGUGUUACCGUAAUUUUCUUUGCCUUGGUUAUGUGUGAUAGCCUAUUUACCUGAUUCUUGUUAGUGUCUUGCGGCCACCAUGCUUCGAAUAUGUUCUGCUGAAUCUUAGCCUACUUAUACCACCUCUGAAUGAUUGUGUUAUCUCAUCUCUUAUUUCUUUCUGUCUAUAUGGUUAACUUUGUUUUCUAAUCUUGUUCAUUC